AUACGGAGGGUGCAAGCGUUAAUCGGAAUUACUGGGCGUAAAGCGCGCGUAGGCGGUUUAGUAAGUCGGAUGUGAAAGCCCUGGGCUCAACCUGGGAAUUGCAUUCGAUACUGCUUGACUAGAGUAUGAUAGAGGGAAGUGGAAUUUCCGGUGUAGCGGUGAAAUGCGUAGAUAUCCGGAGGAACACCAGUGGCGAAGGCGGCUUCCUGGACUAAUACUGACACUGAGGUACGAAAGCGUGGGGAGCAAACAGAAUUAGAAACCCCGGUAGUCC
rnacentral:rRNA from 1 species